GGCUUAAUUUGACUCAACGCGGGAAAUCUUACCGGGUCCGGACACACUGAGGAUUGACAGACAAAUAUAGAAAUUUUAUAUUUCUCAUAUAUAAAGAUGCUAGUUCUUUCAUGAUUAUGUGAUAGGUGGUGCAUGGCCGUUCUUAGUUCGUGGAGUGAUCUGUCUGCUUAAUUGCGUUUCAAUUUUUAUUAUGUAUACGUAUGACCCACGUUUACGCGUGCGAGUCUAGUAUGCUAUCAUUUGAAAGCAACGAACGUGACCGUAUCCUUUUAUUAUAUACGCACGCGUAUAUUUAUUCAUUAAAGGGACCGCUGUUUCUUUUUUUAAACCAGAGGAAGGUUACGGCAAUAACAGGUCUGUGAUGCCC
rnacentral:rRNA from 1 species